CCGCCCCUCCGGGUGCACUUCCGGCGGCUGCGAGGAGUCGGGCAGUUGCUGCGCGCGCUCUUCCGCUCUCCGCGCUGGACUCCGGGCCGGAACCCGCCCCGGGAAGCAGGAAGCGCCCGGUGGCUGGCGCGGGGUGGUCAGGAUGGCGGGGUCCAGCUGGGGUCCCCCGCGGCUGGAUGGCUUCAUUCUCACCGAGCGCCUGGGCAGUGGCACGUACGCCACGGUGUACAAGGCCUACGCCAAGAAGGACACUCGAGAGGUGGUAGCCAUAAAAUGUGUGGCCAAGAAGAGCCUGAACAAGGCAUCCGUGGAAAACCUCCUGACAGAGAUUGAAAUCCUCAAGGGCAUUCGACACCCCCACAUCGUCCAGCUGAAAGACUUCCAGUGGGACAGUGACAACAUCUACCUCAUCAUGGAGUUCUGUGCAGGAGGUGACCUGUCUCGCUUCAUCCAUACCCGCCGGAUUCUGCCUGAGAAGGUGGCUCGUGUCUUCAUGCAGCAGAUAGCUAGUGCCCUGCAGUUUCUGCACGCACGAAACAUAUCUCACCUGGAUCUGAAGCCACAGAACAUUCUGCUGAGCUCCUUGGAGAAGCCCCACCUUAAACUGGCAGACUUCGGCUUCUCACAGCACAUGUCCCCGUGGGACGAGAAGCAUGUGCUCCGCGGCUCCCCUCUCUACAUGGCCCCCGAGAUGGUGUGUCAGCGGCAGUACGAUGCCCGUGUGGACCUCUGGUCCGUGGGGGUCAUUCUGUAUGAAGCCCUCUUCGGGCAGCCCCCCUUUGCCUCCAGGUCGUUCACAGAGCUGGAAGAGAAGAUCCGGAGUAAUCGGGUUAUCGAGCUUCCCCUUCGGCCCCAGCUCUCCCCAGACUGCCAGGACCUGCUGCGGCGGCUCCUAGAGCGGGACCCUGGUCGUCGCAUCUCCUUCCAGGACUUCUUUGCCCACCCCUGGGUGGACCUGGACCACAUGCCCAGUGAGGAGAGCCUGGCACGAGCAACCAUCCUGGUGGUGCAGGCUGUGAAGAAGGACCAGGAGGGGGAUGCUGCGGCUGCCUUAUCGCUCUACUGCAAGGCUCUGGACUUCUUUGUGCCUGCCCUGCACUGGUCCUCAUAUAAACCACCACUGUUUGCAGACGAAGUGGAUGCACAGCGGAAGGAGGCAAUUAAGGCAAAGGUGCGACAGUACGUGUCCCGGGCUGAGGAGCUCAAGGCCAUUGUGUCCUCCUCCAAUCAGGCCCUGCUGAGACAGGGGGCCUCUGCCCAAGACCUGCUCAGAGAGAUGGCUCGGGACAAGCCACGCCUCCUGGCUGCUCUGGAAGUGGCUUCAGCUGCUGUGGCCAAGGAGGAGGAAGCUGGUGGGGAGCAGGACGCCCUGGACCUGUACCAGCACAGCCUGGGGGAGCUGCUGCUGCUGCUGGCAGGGGAGCCCCCAGGCCGGAGGCGGGAACUGCUUCACACUGAGGUUCAGAACCUCAUGGCUCGAGCUGAAUACCUGAAAGAGCAAGUCAAGUUGCCCUGGGACUGUUGAUGCGGCUCCUUUGCCUGCCCCUGGCUGCCUGUCACCUCGGUGCCACCUUUUUGUCCCACAGAUGAGGGAGUCUCGCUGGGAAGCCGAGACCUUGGACAAGGAGGGGCUGUUGGAGUCUGUCCGGACCUCUUGCACCCUGCAGUGACCACAGAAAGAUGACUGCACAGACCAUGGGCCACCUGAAGUUGGGGGACACACCUAGGCUGCUGCCCAGAAUUCUGUGGCCCUCUGCAGCCUGGCGGGGUAGCCUUCCUGGAUGGGCAACCCUGUGAGCACUGCGUCCCAGGGUCCCUAACACCCUCAGGAUGCCCUCCACCCCACAAAGGCUCUGAUGGCCCAGCCCUUUAUGGGCUGGGAGCACUGGGUCUGGCCCCAGGGGAGGGAGCAGGCCUCUGGGAGAAGUGUCUCAUGUGACUGUGGUUAACUGGUGACUGCUGGACCCUGAGCCUGUCAUUUUAGGGCAUGAAGGCUCAGAUGUAGCCUGUGCCCACCCCUUUCCUUCCUGGGAGCCCUUAUUUCAACUCGCCUCUGUCCUCGCAGUGGACCAGGGCGCUCAGGGACCACCCCCCCAUGGUCUGCACUCAGCCCCACAGAACACCAGUCAUCUUGGAAGCUGAUGUCUGUCCACCCUGUCUCAGUAUUUUAAGUUAAUCCUGCAAGCCAUGAAAAGAAUAUAUUUUGAAGGAUGGGGCAAAUUGAAGAAACUCAUGCCUGUUCCUGCCCUGCCCCAGAGGGUCUGCGGGGAGGUCCUUCAUCCUCACCCCUCCAGCCUUCAUCUCCCUUUAGGGAGCACCCCUUGUUUUCUGCAGAGCUGGUCCUGGACUGGAACAGGGAGGCAUGGGGCCUGCCCGACUCCUCAGGUUUUGGAGACCCACUAGCCCAGGAGACAUUUCAGGGCUGACAUGGCUGCCACCCCGCCUGUGCCCUGGGCAAGCACCUUUCCUUUUCUGGGCCUGGGUCUUCCCAGCUCCAUUGGUGUUGCUGUUAUCUCCUAACCCCCUCCCCCCAUGUGGGCUUUUGGGAGUACCAAGUGACUUCCAUCUGGAGAACAAUGUAUAUACCUGGGGUUACUUGGGGACUUGUUUUUAAAACUCUGGCUGUUGGUGAUUUCUAACCUUUCCACCCUUCAGUGCCUCCUGGGGCAAGGGUCGUCUUUUCUGCUCUAUCAGAGGCCAGUAUGAAGUGUAUCAUUUAUUGUUUCCUUAUUAAAUUAUUUUUUGAA